CCUCUGGUUACGGAACUCGAGCCUGUGAAAUAAGCGAGAGAUUAUUGGAUGAUCCCUCAUAAUAAUCAGAUACGUGCAAAUCAUACUCAGUGGUCUACAAUGUGUUUACAAAAUAGACAUUGGAAAAAAAAAAGGUGAUUAGCCGUAGUAUGUAGAAUGUACUGUAUAGAGGUACAUUGGGUCACAACAUUAGGUACAGCACAGGCGUCAUGGCCACCUGGAAUUUUGGCGAGAACGGAUUGGAUUUCCCCAAACGGACAGUGUUUUCGGAAUGUCUUUUGUGAUUAUUCUCAUCGGUUUGCGCAGGACCAGACAACACAAUGCGCAGGAAGACAAAUGGCGCUUGGCAGCAGACGAGGAUGCGGACGGAUCCAAAAGGUCAAGUGAAUAAUGUUGUGACGCCAAACAUCCCGAAGGGGAGCCAAGAAUCCAAUGCAGCUUAUUGCUGAAAUGGCCAUCGAGAAACUCGGACCAAACCAAACCGGACGACAUCAGGUCUUUUAAAAUGGGUUUUUCUUCCCACGAGUGUCCACAUUCCGAACGCCCCUCUGAGCUCAGCUGGCUUGAGUAUCAGCGCGUGAGCUUCACACACACGUGCGCUAGGCACAGGCUCGGGUGCCGCAAAGCAAACCUGACAAAGUGGCAGCUCCAUCUUGUGGCCGGGCGCUGCGUCACAGUCUUUCGGCUCCUGCUCGAUCCUUCAAGGGACAAAAAUUGCUUUUUGACACAAGAGGACCAAUCAGCUUCACAGGUUAGGAUGAAUAACAACAAACAUGACAUCACCCAUCAUCCUUGUACAAAUACACCAUUUAAGUCACGUAUGCAGUUUCUUUGUGUGUGAUUUUUUUUUUUUUAUUACAUUUUUCUUUUAAAUCCAUAACAGCAAGAAGCAAAUCUAGCAAUGCAGCCCCCCCCUUUCAGGGAAAACAAACAAUGUAGAGCUUCAUUUCGACUCCAUUCAACAUUUUAUGGCUUUAGACUAGCAUUUCAUCUCUUGACUGACACACAGGGAUUGGGGGGGGGGGGGGCACGCCGCAGAUAAACAAACAAGCAGAAACAAACAUGGCGGAAUACAUCAUCUUAGCACUAUGAGCAGAGAAAACAAAACAAACUAAAAAAAAAACAACACAAAUUUUUUCAAAGCAUGCGCGCUGGUCGCAGGUUAGGGAUGGUCUGGUGACCAAACCCCCCAAAAUGUUGCUGUCGCUUUUCAGGAGCACAGCUUACAUCAACAGAACAUACUGAGAGCUUUGUGUUGCAUGUCUCUCCAAGUGGUGACUAUAAUGUACGAGUUUCAGGAUUCUUUUUUUUUUUCUUUUUUUCAAAUAAACCACUUCUAUAUAUUCUUUUUCUAUACAUAUCUUAUUCCAUUACAUAUGGAUAGUGUAUGAAUAUUGUAAAUACAUUUUUGUCUGUAACAUGUUUUCUUUAGUCUUAGUACUGUGAUUUUUUUUUUUAAUAUGUUUAACAUGCAUUUGUCUCCUGAUUAAAGAGACAGUACGUGUUAUGUUUGGGCCUCACAGGCCUGACAGUGCGUGUGGGGGGGGGGUUAGUGGACCCCCCCAGUUCCCCCCUCCUCCGGGCGGUUACCGGGCAAACUACAAGCUGCUGACUAAUUAAAAAAAAAAAAAAGGAGAGCGUUCCUGAAAAGGGGAGGGGUUAGAGAAAGACAAAUCAGCGCCCUUUGGAUGCAAGCGUUUUUUUUUUCGUUUUUUUUUUUCUGUGUGGUUAUCCUAACAAAACGCUCUGUCCUCAUACACAUUUUUUUUAUUCAAAAUAAGAU